UGUAACAUGAAAUAGUGCUAAGGAAAAUAGUUAUACAGUGUUAAGGAAUCGAGAACUUAUUAAUGACAUGAAGAAAAUAGAAAAACUACUUAAUUCUCAUAACCCUUUUAACCCAGUGUUAGCUCGAUGCAGUGUUACCUGAAAGAGCCAGUGUACAUGCAAAGUUAAGUAGCGUUACAGUGCAAACACCUCCAUGUUUCACAAGUGAUUUAAGAGAAAAAGAACUAAAGUUCAUUACUCCUUCAACCCGGUGUUACGUGAAUGGGUGAGUGCAGUGUUGUGAUUGCCGUUUCCCUCUCCAUGGCUGGCUGGCUUCGGUGCUGGCGAGGAUACACUCACUCCUACUCCGCCUCCGACUCAUCGCUGCCUCGUUAAUGACUAAAUUCUUUAACGUCGUCACGCCAUACUGCUGACGUAAAAGCAAAGACCGAGGGCACUGUUCGAAGACGUGACGCUCCGUUUGAACUUCACCACAGAUGCAAAGUCUUUCCUCCAGCGGUAGACGACCACGACCCCGCCGGUUCAAACGCCUUUCUUCUAUCGCCAAAGAAUGACCACCUAAACGUAAUCUUGACCAAGAUAUUCUUUCAAAUUCUUUAACGCUUACAUUCGAAUUGUAAAUUACAUGCACGUCUAAGCUCUGAUUUAGUG